AACACGCUGAAAGCAGACAAGUGGUUGAAGUUUAGCUUCACCAUCGGAAAAGCAAAAGCAAGUGGGCUUACCGUUUCUUGCCAAAAGAGUGGCAGCACACCUUCUGCGACUCGAGAAAAGGGUCUGUAAUGAAGAGAAAAUUUAUUGCUAUCGUAACAUGUUUCUGGAAAGUCUAGUCAUGAACCUGUCUUGAAAUUCGUUCCUUGUUAAUGCAGGGACUCUGGGACUCUUGAAAGGAUUUCUUUCUGUUAAUGCUUUUUUCUGAUAACAAUCAGGCUUGCACUGCAAGUCUUCAUACUUUUGUGCAGGGACAGCUCCAGGAUUUUUCUUUUUGGGGGCAGAGCAAGAUUCUCAAUUUUGGUAGGGGGUGCAGCAGGGAACUCCAUCACUAAUCAGCACUUCAUGGUGGUAUGAGGGGGGCGAUUGGAUGACAGGAAAAAAUUUUGGGGGGUCGGAUGCCCCACCCUUGCCCUCUUUAUAGCCGCUCUGCUUUUAUGCUGUCUGGUACAGUGCCAUGGGUGUUGUCAGAUUUUCGCACAGGAUUGCACAGUAUUUUGAAAGCCAGUACACACCAUGUUCAACACUGUUCAAUGCAGGGAAGUGUACAAGAGCUGAAGUAGGUUGAAGCAUGAGACUUGCGCUUGGGAUUGCCACAGUUUAAAAUCCCGCACAAUCAUCAUCACUAUAGGCAGGUUUUGUAAAAGAGUAUUUUUGUUCACUGCAUCAGGUUGACUUAUGCAGGUCCCAUGGACAUGGUUAAAGCAGCAAUCUUAGCAGGCAUUCUAGCACUUGGAAAUAAACAAAAGAAAUCUUUAACAUACCCAAGACCAAACACUCGCUCCAAGACGACGCUCACUUGUAUCCGACCUCGAACAUUAACGGUCACGCCAAGUGUCUGCAGUGAGAAUUAAGGUUCAAUGUUGAAGAAGAACUGAUGUUUGUUGGGAUCUGGGUUCAUGCCAUCAACAUCAGCUCGAUAGGAUGAGUCAGCAUACAAGAAAUGAGGAAAUGAAAGCACAAGUGGAGCACCUGCAUAAAAAACACAGUGCCGUCAGUAUGCAAUAAAAGUAUCUUCUGUGAACUGGAA